GGAUUGGCUGUGUCGCACUGCAAUGUUGAAGGAUGUCAUCUAUCCUUUCCUCGAGGUCAAUCCGAAGGAGUACCAGUGGCGGAUCGCCGAGCUUGAGAAGGCCCGUACUGACGAAGCAACAUCUGCUGCUGAGAAGAUUGCCUAGCUGGAGGCCGACUUGGAAGGGCGCCGGGUGGCCCUGGAGCACUUAGUCCAGAAACGGGAUGACGUGCAGGUAGACAGGACAGGCCUGAUAAGAAAGCUUGAAGCUGAGAAGAAGGGUCACGAGGAGGAAGCUCUCCGCGUUAAGGAGCGAUGCUCUCAGCUAGAGGAAGAGUUUCAGCAGCUUCGUCAGUCCCGUGCUGAUUUGGAUGACGAGCUUCAAAAGAAGAACGCUGCCUUUGUCGCCCUUGAGAGCAGCCAUGGGCUUACAGCAAGCGCUCUGAAGGAGAAGUCCGCCGAGGCAGAGAGAGCCAGAGCUGAAUGCCAACAACUCAUGGGACUCUGUGCUGAUUUGGAGCGGCAGGUUACUCAGCUGAAGGGUGAUCUCGCUAAGAGCAAAGAUCUAGCGGAGAAAAACCAUGUCCUCACCGCUCGGCGUCGUGAAAGGCGAGCGCGUUGCCUUGGAACAACUAGACUCCUCCUAGAGCCGAGUUGAGCACGACCAAGGAGGCGUUCAUGAAGCACAAGCAGACGACUAAAUCUUUGAUGCAAUUGAUAGGCUUGGCUCUGGAUGCCAUCGUGCCCGACCAAUCGUCUCGGGAUCUGGAGGCUCGGCACAACUUCGUGGUGGCUAACAUGAAGAAUUUCAUCAAGGCGCAGGUACAAGCGUCGCUUGAGGAAAGCUUCAUAAUGCUAAAGAUGCUGAAGCCUGAGCUCAUUCUUGACGACUUAACUCGGAAGCUUUCUAUGGAUGCUGACGAUCCUGCUUUUGAGACUGCCACUACUUAGGCUCGUCGCCAUGAGUACAGACAGAACGCUGGCUUCACUUCGUCGAUGCACGUAUCUGGCAGAUUAACCACCGGAAUAUCGGAAACUGAUUGCCUUUAGAUCUUGUCCAUCUCGUGGAGUCAUUGUAUGCCUUGAUCCCGGUGCCGCAAAAUCAACGACUGCCUGAGGCUUCAUCUUGACUUGAGAUUGAAUCCGUAUGCUA